UACGGGGGGGGCAAGCGUUGUUCGGAAUUAUUGGGCGUAAAGAGCUCGUAGGCGGUCUGUCGCGUCGGAUGUGAAAACCCAGGGCUCAACCCUGGGCCUGCAUUCGAUACGGGCAGACUAGAGUAUGGCAGGGGAGACUGGAAUUCCUGGUGUAGCGGUGAAAUGCGCAGAUAUCAGGAGGAACACCGGUGGCGAAGGCGGGUCUCUGGGCCAAAACUGACGCUGAGGAGCGAAAGCGUGGGGAGCGAACAGG
rnacentral:rRNA from 1 species